UCGAACGAUGAAGCCCUUCGGGGUGGAUUAGUGGCGAACGGGUGAGUAACACGUGGGCAAUCUGCCCUGCACUCUGGGACAAGCCCUGGAAACGGGGUCUAAUACCGGAUAACACUCUCAUGGGCAUCUGUGAGGGUUGAAAGCUCCGGCGGUGCAGGAUGAGCCCGCGGCCUAUCAGCUUGUUGGUGAGGUAGUGGCUCACCAAGGCGACGACGGGUAGCCGGCCUGAGAGGGCGACCGGCCACACUGGGACUGAGACACGGCCCAGACUCCUACGGGAGGCAGCAGUGGGGAAUAUUGCACAAUGGGCGAAAGCCUGAUGCAGCGACGCCGCGUGAGGGAUGACGGCCUUCGGGUUGUAAACCUCUUUCAGCAGGGAAGAAGCGAAAGUGACGGUACCUGCAGAAGAAGCGCCGGCUAACUACGUGCCAGCAGCCGCGGUAAUACGUAGGGCGCAAGCGUUGUCCGGAAUUAUUGGGCGUAAAGAGCUCGUAGGCGGUCUGUCACGUCGGAUGUGAAAGCCCGGGGCUUAACCCCGGGUCUGCAUUCGAUACGGGCAGACUAGAGUGUGGUAGGGGAGAUCGGAAUUCCUGGUGUAGCGGUGAAAUGCGCAGAUAUCAGGAGGAACACCGGUGGCGAAGGCGGAUCUCUGGGCCAUUACUGACGCUGAGGAGCGAAAGCGUGGGGAGCGAACAGGAUUAGAUACCCUGGUAGUCCACGCCGUAAACGGUGGGAACUAGGUGUUGGCGACAUUCCACGUCGUCGGUGCCGCAGCUAACGCAUUAAGUUCCCCGCCUGGGGAGUACGGCCGCAAGGCUAAAACUCAAAGGAAUUGACGGGGGCCCGCACAAGCAGCGGAGCAUGUGGCUUAAUUCGACGCAACGCGAAGAACCUUACCAAGGCUUGACAUACGCCGGAAAACCCUGGAGACAGGGUCCCCCUUGUGGUCGGUGUACAGGUGGUGCAUGGCUGUCGUCAGCUCGUGUCGUGAGAUGUUGGGUUAAGUCCCGCAACGAGCGCAACCCUUGUUCUGUGUUGCCAGCAUGCCCUUCGGGGUGAUGGGGACUCACAGGAGACUGCCGGGGUCAACUCGGAGGAAGGUGGGGACGACGUCAAGUCAUCAUGCCCCUUAUGUCUUGGGCUGCACACGUGCUACAAUGGCAGGUACAAUGAGCUGCGAAACCGCGAGGUGGAGCGAAUCUCAAAAAGCCUGUCUCAGUUCGGAUUGGGGUCUGCAACUCGACCCCAUGAAGUCGGAGUUGCUAGUAAUCGCAGAUCAGCAUUGCUGCGGUGAAUACGUUCCCGGGCCUUGUACACACCGCCCGUCACGUCACGAAAGUCGGUAACACCCGAAGCCGGUGGCCCAACCCCUUGUGGGAGGGA
rnacentral:rRNA from 1 species